UACGGAGGGGGCUAGCGUUGUUCGGAAUUACUGGGCGUAAAGCGUGCGUAGACGGUUGCGUAAGUUAGAUGUGAAAGCCCCGGGCUCAACCUGGGAAUUGCAUUUGAGACUGCGUAGCUAGGGUGCGGAAGAGGGAAGCGGAAUUUCCGGUGUAGCGGUGAAAUGCGUAGAUAUCGGAAGGAACACCAGUGGCGAAAGCGGCUUCCUGGUCCAGCACCGACGUUCAGGCACGAAAGCGUGGGGAGCAAACAGG
rnacentral:rRNA from 1 species